rnacentral:rRNA from 1 species
CCCGCCAAUUCCUUUAAGUUUCGCCCAAGGAUGGGGCCGCGGCCGAUCAGGUUGUUGGUGAGGUAAUGGCUCACCAAGCCUUUUACCGGUGCGGGCCGUGGGAGCGGGAGCCCGGAGAUGGGCACUGAGACAAGGGCCCAGGCCCUACGGGGCGCAGCAGUCGCGAAAACUUUGCAAUACACGAAAGUGUGACAGGGCUAUCCCGAGUGCCAUCCGCUGAGGAAGGCUUUUACCCAGUCUAGAACGCUGGGGGAAUAAGGAGAGGGCAAGUCUGGUGUCAGCCGCCGCGGUAAUACCAGCUCUCCGAGUGGUGUGGAUGUUUAUUGGGCCUAAAGCAUCCGUAGCUGGCUAGGUAAGUCCUUUGUUAAAUCCACCGAAUUAAUCGUUGGAUCGCGGGGGAUACUGCUUGGCUAGGGGACGAGAGAGGCAGACGGUAUUCUCGGGGUAGGGGUGAAAUCCUAUAAUCCCGGGAAGACCACCAGUGGCGAAGGCUGUCUGCUAGAACGCGCCCGACGGUGAGGGAUGAAAGCUGGGGGAGCGAACCGGAUUAGAUACCCGGGUAGUCCCAGCUGUAAACGAUGCAGACUAGGUGUUUGGACGGCCACGUGCCGUUCUAGUGCCGCAGGGAAGCUGUUAAGUCUGCCGCCUGGGGAGUACGAUCGCAAGAUUGAAACUUAAAGGAAAUUGGCGGG